ACGCUCGACACCUAGGGAGCAGCAGUGAGGAAUAUUGGUCAAUGGGCGCUAGCCUGAACCAGCCAAGUAGCGUGAAGGAUGAAGGCUCUAUGGGUCGUAAACUUCUUUUAUAUAAGAAUAAAGUGCAGUAUGUAUACUGUUUUGUAUGUAUUAUAUGAAUAAGGAUCGGCUAACUCCGUGCCAGCAGCCGCGGUAAUCUGAGCGGGCUGGCAAGGC
rnacentral:rRNA from 1 species